AAUAAAUCAGAGGGUAACCACACGAUAUUGGAUGAUCCAGUGUGAUUGUGCCGAUCGGGCAUUUCAGAGGUUACAAUUUGACUCGUGUGGUUGUCUCAGGCCGCGUGGUGUAUUAAGUGUUCAUCACUGACGCCAUUUUGAGCGCGCGUGCCUGUAAAAAAAAAAAAAGAGAAAGACGUGAAUGAACAGGCCAGGGUUUUUUUUUUUACAGGCACGCG